AUUCCGGCAAUCCAAUCCCACACAGUCACACAAAAGAAACACCGUACCAGCCACAGGAGCAAUCUGCUUGCAAGGCUGCCCCCUCUGGAGCCAGGACUCAACCAAGGAGCUCCAGGACAUCCCUACUUGUAAGCAUGAGCCCUGCAAUUCCUUGAGACAUCUGGUGUCUCCCAUGCAAGAAAGAGGGAAAGAAAGAACCCUGAAGGAGGACAAGAGGAUUCAGGGUCCAGUUAAUCAUUCCUGGAAAGAAACCAGUGCCAGUCUGGGAGAAGGUAAAGCUGCUGGAAGGGGAGACUCAGGGCUCUGUCAACAAGGAAGCAAGAACGAUCCCAGAUGAAUAAAGGGAGGCACAGCAUGAAUGAACUACCUGUACAAGAACACAGAGCUAGUGAGUGUCUGGUGAGCACAGUCUGGCCCUAGAGCACACAUACACACCUUAGGGACCUGACCCCUCUCUAACUCUAACCUGUCUCUCUGUCAGCUACCUUGGGCUUUGUGGAUGAGUGACAGAACAAAAGAAAAGAGGAAGAAUAAAAAAAGGGAAAAGCUGGAGGAAAAGAAGAAAGAAUAGAGAGCAAUUUUUG